GAUAGUGACCACAACCUCACCAUCGUGUGUGGGUUGUGGUUGCUUCUUCUGUUCCUGUGCUUCCUGGUGGGGAUUCCAUCUUUACCAACCUUCUGGAAAACCAAAAUCUACCAAAAGGUAAGGAUCCCUGGGCAAGCCACCAACAGGGAUUUUUUAUUGUUGUUUCCAUUUCUAGUCCCACAUUUUUAAAUGAGUUGGUCCAGAGAGACUCCUAAGAUGGCAAGUCUGAAUAGAGGAUAGAACAUCAUCCUUCUAGGGGAAUAGGCCAGGCAGGACUAGGGGUUCAGCUGGGACUGUUUCCCAUUCAAAACUCACAGACCAUCUGGGUGUGGUGGAGGAUUCCUGGAUUAGAUCCCAUCAGUGAUUUCACGGCCCUGCAUUAGGUUAUUUAGAGAGUUUGGGAUCUGUGUAGGAGAACACUGUUCCCAACACUGGAUCAUGAGUCACAUUCCCAUGUCGGGCGUCAUUCGACCAAACCGUCCUUUGUAUUGGGCAGAUCAGGAAAGCAGGGCUGAGCCUCUGAGCAGACACUGGAGUGUGAGCUCUGUCCCAGGAUACAGGGUCCUAUCUGAGGAAGCACAGAUGUGACUGUGGGCCUCAGAGUCUAUGCCCUCCUUGAGCAGAGGACUUCUGACUGAGAAUAUCAAGUGUGGACUCUAGCCAAAAAUCCUCCUUCGAGUUUUUCAAAGAAGGAAAAAUUGAAAGUAUCUUAUCACCUUUAGAAAUUCAGAAAGGGAAGGAACACAAAGUGCUAGUAAUAAAAAUAGAGAGUGACAUUAAUCUUGGAUGAAUAGCUGAGUUUCCUAGAGAGAGGAGCAAGACAACUAAGUCCUCGCUCCUCAUUCUUUUCUUUUUGUUCUCAGCAUCAGGGCAGAGCCAAGAGGAGAAGAAAAGGUGGAACAUCAAGUGGUUGGAGAAAUUACCAGAGGGAAACAGAGGAGAAAAGGAGGCUAAUUUCUAUUCUGAAAAGGCCCCUAGGCCGGCCUCUCGAUACCACCCACUUUCGUCAACUAUUAUGCCCAGACCCCUCCUGUGAGGUGUGUAAUAGCACAACUGCUGAGGUCAAUCGGCUGCUGUUCCUGGAGGACCUGGAAGAUGAUACUGCCUCUGUGUCCUCUAUGGCUUCCACAGCUUCUGGGACUGAGUCAUCAUUCACUCUGUCCUCUGCCUUCUCAGAAGUCCCUCCAGGAGACCUAACACCAUCCCCUCCACCUGACCCUU